rnacentral:lncRNA from 1 species
CUUCUUCUAAUUGGUUUACCCAUUUUCCCCUUUAAAAAUCGGUUGGCGCUCUCUUUUAUUACCCUCUUUUAUUAUCUUCUAUUUAAUAUAUCUCUUUCAUUUAAAUCAUCAUACUGAACAUACCUCAUAUAUUCAUACUCUCCAAAUAUCUGUAUUUUCAAUACGGAACAUGCCGCUACUUCAUAGUACUUGGUUGUCAUUUUAAAUGUCGUUUUCAAUGACAGUGUCACUUCAUCGACUUGACCCCCUACUCCCUGACAUACACUGGAAGGGAAAAAUUAAUCCUUAAAAAGGCAUGUAAUUCGAAAAAUAAAUCAUUUCUAUUUCAACAAAUCAUCUUCCUCUUGGGUUUUUUGGAAAGAAAUCACUUUUCUCCCUUUGGGAGCUUCAAGCCAUCCACACCGGUGAUGGAACUAAGGCUGACACAAUGGGGACUUUGACAUCCAGACUCCAGCAUCCAACACCUUUAGCUGCAGGGGCCUAGGGCCGAAGAUCCGCCCAGGCCUACGAGAAGUCUACAACAGCAGUACCAUACGACAUCAAGAAGAUACCAUCAGCUACCAAAAGCCAUAAGUAUAAUCCAGAAUUGUUAGUUUUUGGCAAGAAUUUAAAUACAUUUGUUAAUGCAA